AAUGCAAGAAAAAUUAAUGAAGAAUAUAAAAAAUGCAACUUACAAUUUAUUUGGCCAUGCUAUAUACACAAACAGAAAAUAAUCUCAACAAACAAGCUGGAUAAAACAGAGCCAUGUGAAAUUGCACAAUGGAGAAAAAGGUAUGAGUUAAGAAAGACAGCUUCUAAAAGACAAACAUUUAUAACAGGUAUUAAAGAAGCGUAUUGUUAGAUGGACAUUUAAGAAUGGUCAGUGGCAUCGCAAGCAGGAGGGUGCUAAAAAAUUAAUCCACCACUGCAUCUUUGUUAUGUAUCCUCUGGGCUCUGCAUUGCCAGAAGCACUGUAGAUGAUGCCCCAAAGUAUAAGAUAGGGUCUUAUCCUAUCUGAGAUAAGGAGACAGGCAAUACUAACACAGAAACAAAAGCAGGGGUCAGGAAACACAGAGAUAUUCUGUGUCAGACAGAUCAGGGAUAGAGUUCCCCAUUCCACCCUUACUAGCCUUUAGGCAAGUUAGGUAACUAAGUUCAGUGUUCUAAAUAUUACAUAAAAUAUUCCAUUAUUUCCUAAUUAAUGUUAUAAGGAAAUAGUUAAUAUGUAUUGCAUACUUGUUAUAGGCAAUAUAACAUGGACUGUUCUAUCUCAUUUAAUCAACACAUCUAUCCUAAUUGGUAUGUUAUUGUCAUUAUCACCCUUCUCCAGACGAAGAAACUGAGGCACAAACAGGCUCAGACCGUGUUCAGGAAAACACACCCAGUAAGUGGCAGAGGCGGAAUUUUAACAUAUUCAGUCUUAGCUUGGAGGAUUUGUUUCUGUAGAACUUAUUCUCCUGCUUCUCAAUAAGCAUCAUGUUGGUUCCAGUAAAUACAAAUGUCUAUUUCAUGGGAGCAGAGGAAUAGGACUGUGAGAUGAUGGAUCUGAAUAGACAAAAAGCCUUCCUAACAAGGCUGCUGUCCAGCAAGCCCUUCCAAAACCCAGGCACGUUAAAACUCCUAUGGACACACACACACACACACACACACACACACACACACACACACACAAUUCCAUUUAUGUGUGUGUGUAAAAUAGAGCAGAAUUUUAAGAGAAAAUAUACUCCCAUUACUACAGGGAUCCUUUUCCUUGCUCAAGUGAAAGUGUUGGUGGGAGUGAAGUUAAAAUUCUCAGCCUCUUCUCCUGCUCAAAAGCGGACAACCUGUCAAUCAGCAGGGAGGCACCUCACCCAGGAGUGGAAAGCAGUAACCUAACUGCUCCCUACCAAUUUAGUUAGGGAUUCAUUCUAACUCUUAUUUGAAGAGCCUAGAAAUUAAUGUAAUAUUUCCUGUACUCAUUUGCAUUGCCUGCGGGCUGGAAGCGCCCCCUGUGAGGGCCACCGAGUUAGGCAGGGAGCUGUAUCCAGGGCAACUCAGUACCAAGUUAAAGCAGGAGGAGCCCUUGUAGAGUGAAGCUGACACUGGGAUUAGGAUCUGUUCUAUGAGAGACCAUGCCCGGCUGAUAAAUUGAAGUGGUAAUUUGGGAUUUAACCAAAUAGAGCAGUAAAUGUAUUAGAAUGAGGAAAAUCCAAGGGGAGCAGAGACUGGG
rnacentral:lncRNA from 1 species